rnacentral:rRNA from 1 species
GACGAACGCUGGCGGCGUGCUUAACACAUGCAAGUCGAGCGAUGAAGCACCUUCGGGUGUGAAUUAGCGGCGAACGGGUGAGGAACACGUGAGAAAUCUGCCUUCAACACUGGGAUAACUCCGGGAAACCGGGGCUAAUACCGGAUAUGAAACCUGCGGGCAUCCGCGGUUUUGGAAAGUUUUUCGGUUGAAGAUGAUCUCGCGGCCUAUCAGCUUGUUGGUGAGGUAAUGGCUCACCAAGGCGACGACGGGUAGCCGGCCUGAGAGGGCGACCGGCCACACUGGGACUGAGACACGGCCCAGACUCCUACGGGAGGCAGGAGUGGGGAAGAUUGGGCAAUGGAGGAAACUCUGACCCAGCGACGCCGCGUGCGGGAUGAAGGCCUUCGGGUUGUAAACCGCUUUCAGCAGGGAAGAAGCGAAAGUGACGGUACCUGCAGAAGAAGCACCGGCUAACUAUGUGCCAGCCGCCGCAGUAA